ACAUGGUGGUGAUUUUAAACUGUAUAAAUGUGAAACUGAAAUGCUCUACUCAUAUCUAAAAAAAUUUUUUUUAGGUGAUCUUCUGCAGCAUUUCAAACUACAACACAGGACGCUUGAAACUGGAAAUUCGGUACCUUGUGUUGAUUUUGGUUGUCCAUGCUCCUUAAUGAAGGUGCCGCCAGAUGAGAUGGCAGUGUAAAGUCUGUGGAUUCAGAGCAACAACAAAAGGAGAUCUUCUGCAGCAUUACAGACUACAGCACAGGACGUUUGAAAUUGGAAACUCGGCCAGCAACCAUGGACUCCACAGUUCUCCGUGUCAUCUUUGGCCACAGAAUUGAAAAACUCUCCCUUCCAUCUAUACCAGAAACCAUAGAGGAACUGAACAUGGCUGUUAAAGAGACAUUUGGUAUACCCAAGGAGUUCAGUCUGCAGUAUUUCGAGGAUUUUCUUAUGCUUCACUCUACUGCAGCAAUCAAGCACAAAGCCACAAUUAAGGUCAUGAAACUUGAGCCAGUUGUGAUAAACCUGUACCCAGUGCACAAUGAAAGUGAUGCUGAAAGUUUCUCCUCCUCUGUCUCGUCUGACCCAUAUCAUUCAUCAUCUGCAAGCUCAGCCACCAUGUCACCAAACAGCAGCCUACAAAGGAAGCAAUGGCCAACGGAAUUCACUAUUCCACAAUUCUCAGUUGAAACUGAAAUGGUUAUUGAAAAAGCGAAUGAACUUUACAGAAAAGACAGCACACUGUUGACUACCCCAAACAUCAAGUCAGACAUACUUGAAAAGCUAGCUCAGUCCAUUUAUACUUACACUCCCUAUCCAUCACUCCAGAAUCGCCUUUCUGUGGCUGAAGCACUUAUCAAGGCACAUCCAUGUCUGAAGGAUCCAGGGAGUUCUUCAGGGAUCAUUGGCUGGCAGAAUAGUAUUAAGAUCAAAAUGGCUAACUACAGAACAAAGCUGAGAGGCCUUGACAUUCCAGAUGUCACAUGUAAUGCUCUGAAACAUAAACACCCUGCUGACCAGAAGUCUGCCAAAAAUGUGAAAAAGGCAAAACGAGCAGAGGUCAAUUAUUUGCCACCCUACCCAGCUGGUGAAAAUGAGCAGACCUUAGAGAAAGUGAGGGAAGAGCUAAUCAUCGAGUCAAAAAAGAAGAACAACGAAAAGAUAGUCAAAGACAAAAUGAGCACAACAUUCGCCCUCAGACGGCAUGAAAUCAUCAACCAGUGUCCAAGUGUUCGAGACAUUAAGGAGCGCUGGCCUGCCCUGUUUGACCCAUCUCAAGCAAGCGAACACAGGCAGGAGAGGCAAAGUGCAGCGAGGCAAGCGAAUGCAGGCGGGAGAGGCAAAGUGCAGUGAGGCAAGCAAACACAGGCAGAACAGGCAAAGUGCAGCGAGGUCCUAUUUCUUUCUUUUACAGGCACGCAAAUGCGGAUGGGAGAGGCAAUGUGCACCGAGGUACUCUUUGUUCUUUCUUUUACAGGCAAGCAAAUGCGAGCGGGAGAGACAAAGUGCAGCAAGGUACUCUCUGAUUCUUUCUUUUACAGGUGAACAAAUGUGGGCCGAAGAGACCAAGUGCAGCGAGGUACCCUUUGUUCUUUCUUUUACAGGCAAAUAAAUGCAGGCAGGAGAGGCAAAGUGCAGUGAGGUACUCUUUUUCUUUCUUUUCCAAGCAAUCGAACAUGCGUGGGACAGGCAAAGUGCAGUGAGGUACUCUGUUUCUUUUACAGGCAAGGGAAUGCAGGCGGGAGAGGCAAAGUGAAGCAAGGUACUUUCUUUCUUUUACAGGCAAGCGAAUGCGGGUGGGACAGGCAAAGUGCAGCGAGGUACUCUUUUUGAUUCUUUCUUUUCCAGGCAAUUGAACAUGCAUGGGACAGGCAAAGUGCAGUGAGGUACUUUUUGUUUCUUUCACAGGCAAGGGAAUGCAGGCGGGAGAGGCAAAGUGCCGCAAGGUAAUCUUUCUUUCUUUUACAGGCAAGCGAAUGCAGGUGGGAGAGGCAAAGUGCAGUGAGGUAUUCUUUCUUUCUUUUACAGGCAAAGGAAUGCAGGUGGGAGAGGCAAAGUGCAGCGAGGUAUUCUUUCUUUCUUUUACAGGCAAGCGAACGCAGGCAGGAGAGACAAAGUGCAGCGAGGUACUUUUUGUUUCUUUUACAGGCAAGGGAAUGCAGGCGGGAGAGGCAAAGUGCCGCAAGGUAAUCUUUCUUUCUUUUACAGGCAACCGAAUGCAGGCGGGAGAGGCAAAGUGCAGUGAGGUAAUCUUUCUUUCUUUUAUAGGCAAGCGAACGCAGGCAGGAGAGGCAAAGUGCAGUGAGGUACUCUUUGUUUCUUUCUUUUACAGGCAAGCGAAAGCGGCUGGGAGAGGCAAAGUGCCGCAAGGUAAUCUUUCUUUCUUUUACAGGCAAGCGAAUGCAGGCGGGAGAGGCAAAGUGCAGUGAGGUAAUCUGUUUCUUUUACAGGCAAGGGAAUACAGGUGGGAGAGGCAAAGUGAAGCAAGGUACUUUCUUUCUUUUCCAGGCAAUCGAACAUGCGUGGGACAGGCAAAGUGCAGCGAGGUACUCUUUCUUUCUUUUACAGGCAAGUGAACAUGGGUGGGAGAGGCAAAGUGCAGUGAGGUACUCUUUUUGAUUCUUUCUUUUACAGAUGAACAAAUGUGGGCUGAAGAGGCCAAGUGCAGCGAGGUACUCUUUGUUUCUUUCUUUUAUAGGCAAGCGAACAUGAGUGGGACAGGCAAAGAGCAGCGAGGUACUCUUUUUGAUUCUUUCUUUUACAGGCAAGCGAAUGCGGGUGGGACAAGCAAAGUGCAGCGAGGUACUCUUUGAUUCUUUCUUUUUCAGGCAAGUGAACGUGGGUGGAAGAGGCAAAGUGCAGCAAGGUAUUCUUUCUUUUACAGGCAAGGGAAUGCAGGCGGGAGAGGCAAAGUGCAGCAACGUCCUCUUUGUUUCUUUACUUUACAGGCAUGCAAACCCAGGCAGGACAGGCAAAGGAAGCGAGUUCCUCUUUGUUCUUUCUUUAACAGGCAAGCGAAUGUGGGCGGGAGAGGCAAAGUGCAGCGAGGUACUCCUUGAUUCUUUCUUUUACAGGCAAGCGAAUGUGGGGAGGAGAGGCAAAGUGCAGUGAGGUACUUUUUCUUUCUUUUACAGGCAAGUGAAAGAAGGCGGGAGAGGCAAAGUGCAGCGAGGUACUCUUUGUUUAUUUCUUUAACAGGCAAGUGAACGUGGGUGGGACAGGCCAAGUGCAGGAAGGUACUCUUUGUUUCUUUCCUUUACAGGCAAGUGAACACAGGUGCGAAAGGCAAAGUGAAACGAGUUACUUUUUUUGCUUUCUUUUACAGACAAGAGAACGUGGGUGGGACAGGCAAAGUGUAGCAAGCUACUCUUUUUCUUUCUUUUACAGGUAAGUAAACACCGGCUGGAGAAGCCAAGUGAAGCAAGGUACUCUUUCUUUUACAGGCAGGUGAAUUCGGUGGGGAGAGGCAAAGUGCAGCAAGGUACUCAGUUUCCUUUACAGGCAAGCGCACACAGGUGGGACUGGCAAAGUGCAGCUAGGUACUCUUUGUUUCUUUCCUUUACAGGCAAGUGAAUGUGGGCGGGAGAGGCAAAGUGAAGCAUGGUACUCUUUGAUUCUCUUUUACAGGCAAGCCAACACGCAUGGAACAGGCAAAGUGCAACAAGCUACUCUGUUUCUUUUGCAGGCAAGGGAAUGCGGGUGGGAGAGGCAAAGUGCAGCGAGGUACUCUUUCUUUCUUUUACAGGCAAGUGAACAUGCGUGGGACAGGCAAAGUGCAGCGAGGUACUCUUUCUUUUACAGGCAAACGAAUGUAGGCAGGAGAGGCAAAGUGAAGCAAGGUACUCUUUCUUUCUUUUCCAGGCAAGGGAUUGCGGGCAGGAGAGGCAAAGUGCAGCGAGGUAUUCUUUCUUUUCCAGACAAGGGAAUGCGGGCGGGAGAAGCAUCAUGCAAUAAGAUACUCUGUUUCUUUUACAGGCAAGGGAAUCACUAAAAGCUUGUCCACCAUUAUUAGAUCGCAGCGAUUUACAGGUCGGCAGUGCUGCACGUGUGACAACAUUUCCGCCAGUCCAUUCUUUUGUUUCCACAUGGACUCUAUCCUAUUCUCUGCAGUGGCGUGCAUUCUUGAUUGCCAGUCUUUUGAAAAAGACACAAAAGCUCUUCAAAUUCAUCCUCAAUCAUUGGCUUUUUGUAUGAGGAUGAUAUCGAACCUUUUGCCAUGGAGAAAGAAGUAAACAGAUUUUUUUUCCUAAUUUCCUUCUUCGAAAUAGUUUGACUCAUUGGUCUAGGGGUAUGAUUCUCGCUUAGGGUGUGAGAGGUCCCGCAUUCAACUCCCAGACGAGUCCAGGUUUUACCUUAAAUGGUCAAUCUGGACUGGGGUAACAGGGAUUUCACUUGGCUGAAUUGUUCUUAAAGUGCUCAUCUAAUGAAAGUUACAUCAGAAAAUGUAACGUGUUUAUGUGCUCAAAUACACUGUAAAGUUGCCAAAUAAAUAAAAAAAUUAGUUUGAAAAAUGUUUUUUUGGAUCUGAAUUCUGUUCCAAAAAUCACUAAAAGCUUGUCCACCAUUAUUAGAUCACAGCGAUUUACAGGUCGGCGGCGCUGCACGCGUGACAUUAUUUCUGCCAGUCUGUUCUUUUGUUUUCACACGGACUCUAUCCUAUUCUCUGCAGUGGCGUGCGUUCUUGAUACCGAGUCUUUUGAAAAAGACACAAAAGCUCUUCAAAUUCGUCCUCAAUCUGUGUUUUUUUGUUUGAGGAUCAUUUUGAACCUAUAGACACGGAAAAAGAGGCGGACUGAUUUUUUUUUAUUAUCAUUUAUAUUUUUUUAAAUAAUUUUAUGGGUUGUUUGGCUCAUUGGUCUAGGGCAGGGGUGCGGAAAGUCCGGCCUCCAGGCUGUAUACGGCCCGCGAGACUGUUUGAUCUGGCCUGCAAGAUGAUUUCGUAAUUACUCACACACAAAAAAAAUUAUAUAUACAGUGUGGCAAAAAAGUAUUUAGUCAGCCACCAAUUGUGCAAGUUCUCCCACUUAAAAAGAUGAGAGAGGCCUGUAAUUUUCAUCAUGGGUACACUUCAACUAUGAGAGACAGAAUGGGGGGAAAGAAUCCAGGAGAAAACAUUGUAGGAUUUUUCAUGAAUUAAUUGGUAAAUUCUUCAGUAAAAUAAGUAUUUGGUCACCUACAAACAAGCAAGAUUUCUGGCUCUCACAGACCUGUAACCACUUCUUUAAGAGGCUCCUCUGUCCUCCACUCGUUACCUGUAUUAAUGGCACCUGUUUGAACUCAUUAUCAGUAUAAAAGACACCUGUCCACAACCUCAAACAGUCACACUCCAAACUCCACUAUGGCCAAGACCAAAGAGCUGUCAAAGGACACCAGAAACAAAAUUGUAGACCUGCACCAGGCUGGGAAGACUGAAUCUGCAAUAGGUAAGCAGCUUGGUGUGAAGAAAUCAACUGUGGGAGCAAUUAUUAGAAAAUGGAAGACAUACAAGACCACUGAUAAUCUCCCUCGAUCUGGGGAUCCAUGCAAGAUCUCACCCCGUUGGGUCAAAAUGAUCACAAGAAUGGUGAGCAAAAAUCCCAGAACCACACGGGGGGACCUAGUGAAUGACCUGCAGAGAGCUGGGACCAAAGUAACAAAGGCUACCAUCAGUAACACACUACGCCGCCAGGAACCCAAAUCCUGCAGUGCCAGACGUGUCCCCCUGCUUAAGCCAGUACAUGUCCAGGCCCGUCUGAAGUUUGCUAGAGAGCAUUUGGAUGAUCCAGAAGGGGAUUGGGAGAAUGUCAUAUGGUCAGAUGAAACCAAAGUAGAACUUUUUGGUAAAAACUCAACUUGUCGUGUUUGGAGGAGAAAGAAUGCUGAGUUGCAUCCAAAGAACACCAUACCUACACUCUCAGAAAUAAACGUACACAGUGGUACAAAUAUGACACAUUAAGGUACACAAAUGUACCUUUCAGUUUGAUGUACCUUAAAUGGUACAAAACUGGACCUUUGUGGUAUGACACUGUACCUUUCAAGGUACAAAAUUGGAGAAGGUACGUGUUUGUACCUUAGGGCAUGGUACUUUGAGCUGCUAGGGGGAGGAGUCCAAAAAGCAACUAACGGUCCUGCUCUAGAUGCUAGCGCAAGACAAAAUUCUACUACUACUCGCGUGGUCGCCUGAAGGAUGGCGACUUUGUCUGCCCUCUCCACCGAAGAGCUUUUGGACUUCUUAGUAAAAGCGGGCCUGGAAAUAACAGACGACGACAGAAGGAAAUUUACAGGUGAGUUACCAUACUGUUGUUCUGAUUGUGGCUAGUUCUACUGAAUUAGGUGGUUCCUUGAAAACCUUUCAGAAGCCCCCGUCAAAGAAGUGAUCAUGUACCUUAAAGGUACAAAUUAACUUGUCUCUGUGGUGGUACCAUUGUGGUACAGAUUUGUACCAUUGUUAAAGGUACAGCAUUUGUACCAUCCACUAAAGGUACAAACUUGAUCUUGAAGGUACAGAUGAGGCACUUAAAGGUACAAAGCAUGAAGGUACAAAUAUGUACCCCUUUUGAAAGGUACAGCUCUGUACCCUCUAAAGGUACUGCCACAGAGACAAGAGUUUGUACCUUUUAAGGUACGGAUCUGUACCUUUUUUUCUGAGAGUGUAGCACAAUCUCGCGGUACGGUGACGUCAUGCGGUAGCCCUGGAUAGAAGAGAAAAUGGGGGAAAAAAGAAGAUAAAGACAGAAAACGCAAGAAAUCUGCUGCUACUUUGUCCCAAAAUAUUGGCGCCAUGUUCCAAAAAAGGGCCAAAAUGGGUAAGGUACUGAGUGCAGGACUUUGUUUUUCUUUUGUUUCCAACAGUAGUGGUAGAUCGAUCUGUCAGAGUGAUCAGUGGGGGUAGCGUCAGCCCAUCCGUCAGUCUAUGUGUGUCAGUGACACGCACACACAGAGAUGAGUUAGGUGGCUCGAUUGCUAGGUACUAGUAGCGUCGGACCUGGGGCUGCUUUUAUUUUUUUUUUCAGCUUGGGAAAUCGGAGCUGUGGUGUGAAGACAGUAAAAUGCGAGACUUUAAGAGCACGUGUUUUUCAGUCGUCAUGGUAACAUGACGCCCUGUCAGUGGUUUGACAUUUGGAUCAGAGUGAAAAGAAACGUGUGCACUAGCUGAAAAAUGAAAAUGUUCAGACCAGUGUGUGUGAAAACACCCACUGUUGCUGCAUUUGGGCAAUUUUAAAUUAAUUGUCCUUAUAGGGCUGUGCGAUAUUAUUUCAAUCUCAGGAUUACUUGAAACAUUUAUCUCAAUUAGAAAUUAUUGUUGUUUUUUAUGCUAAAGCAUGGGCAGAUCAGGAGUGUUCUGAUGCCAUAAACAACAACUGAAGUGAGCAACAGAGACAGACAACAACAGACAGACAAUGAAGGAGAGCAACAACAGACAGACAAUGAAGGAGAGCAACAACAGACAGACAAUGAAGGAGAGCAACAACAGACAGACAGAGGAGGGGAGAGCAACAACAGAGACAGACAAUGAAGGAGAGCAACAACAGAGACAGACAAUGAAGGAGAGCAACAACAGAGACAGACAAUGAAGGAGAGCAACAACAGAGACAGACAAUGAAGGAGAGCAACAACAGAGACAGACAAUGAAGGAGAGCAACAACAGAGACAGACAAUGAAGGAGAGCAACAACAGAGACAGACAAUGAAGGAGAGCAACAACAGACAGACAAUGAAGGAGAGCAACAACAGACAGACAAUGAAGGAGAGCAACAACAGACAGAGAGGAGGGGAGAGCAACAACAGAGACAGACAAUGAAGGAGAGCAACAACAGAGACAGACAAUGAAGGAGAGCAACAACAGACAGACAAUGAAGGAGAGCAACAGAGACAGGCAGUGGAAGAGAGAAACAACAGAUAGACAAUAAAGGAGAGCAACAGAGACAGACAAUGAAAGAGAGCAACAACAGACAACUGAGAAACACGGGGAUAGAUUGAGACCUGUAGCCUACUUCUCCAGCAGGGUGGAUCCAGUGGCGGCUGGACUUCCUGUUUGCCUGCGUGCAGUUGCUGCAGCUGAAAAGGCAGUAACUGCUUACAGAAAUAUUGUGGGGUACUCUAACCUCACCCUUUUGGUCCCACAUGCUGUCUCCCUGCUUCUGUUGGAGAAAAGACGUCACAUUUGUCAGCACAGAGAUGGUUGAAGUAUAACACUGUCAUACUUGAUAUGCCUAACAUCAUUGUGAAACGUUGUUCUGUUCUGAAUUCUGCCUCUCUUCUCCUUACAGAGGAUGAUGGAGAACCACAUGACUGUGUUGCUCUCACUAAUGAUUUUUGUUCCCCCAGGGCAGACUUAAAGAGUGACCCUUUUGGAAAAUCCAGACAUGGUCCUCUAUGUGGAUGGUUCAGCCUCCAGAGACUCAGAGACAGGAAAGAGCAAAGUAGGUUUUGCCGUAGUCUCAGAUCACGAGGUCCUCAAGGCGUUGUGUCUGCCCUCAAACCUGUCGGCGCAGGCCGCAGAGCUCUGUGCCCUUAUUGAGGCAUGCAAAUUGGCUGCAGGGCAAUCUGUCAAUAUUUUUACGGACAGUAGGUAUGCAUUUGGCGUUGUGCACGAUUUUGGCACCAUUUGGAAACAUAGAAAUUUUCUCACUAGCACAGGAUCUCCCAUUGCACACCAUAAACUGGUCUCUGAGUUGUUGGAUGCUGUUCUACUCCCUAGAGCCAUUGCUGUGUGUAAGUGUGCUGCCCAUACUAACAAUACUGAUCUUGUGUCUCAAGGGAAUGCCAGGGCAGACGUGGCAGCUAAGUGUGCAGCCUCGGCUUCCAGUUCACUCUCUAACCUUGCCUUUCCUCAGGUUUCUACCCCUUGUUUACAGCUAGCGGACCUUCAGAGCACUGCCACCCAGGAUGAGAGAUGAGUCUGGAAACAGGCAGGCUGUAUCCUUGCAAACUCGGUCUGGGUUUGUCCCUCGGGCGGUCCCUGUCUACUAAAAUACAUGUUCCCUUUCUAUGCAAAAUUGGCACAUGGGCUCACCCAUGUGUCAAAAGGGGGGAUGGUAGCAGAAGUAACAAAGAGAUGGUUCACAAAGGGGUUUUCAAAUUAUGCUGCGAAAUUUUGCAAGCAAUGCUUGAUAUGUGCACAACAUAAUGCAGGUCAAGGUAUCAAACUAACUCAAGCAGCACACCCAAUACCAGACAAACCAUUUGAUCAUCUCCAAAUGGACUUCAUUGAACUGACACUUAAAAAUAAACUAAGCAAAGCUUGUGCAGAAACAGGGCUAGGAUGGACAAAGGUCCUCCCUGUAGUACUCACACAAAUGAGGAUGCAAACUAGACCUAAACAUGGGUUAAGCCCAUUCGAAAUUCUGUUUGGAUGAGUACCCAACACGGGGAUAGGGCCAGCUCAAGGAACACUGCCAGACACCACACUGUGUGAUGAUGCAAUGUUGAAUUACUGUGCAACGUUGUCCUCUGCUUUGAAAUCUAUUCACAAACAGGUAAAGAAGCACUUCCCAAACCCGCUGAGGGACCUCUGCACGAUCUACAACCAGGGGAUUGGAUCAUGGUGAAGGACUUCCAACAAACCAAGUGGAACAAGCCACGGUGGAAUAGCCCAUUCCAGGUCCUGCUCACGACCCCAAUGGCAGUGAAGGUCACAGGCAGAGUGACGUGGAUCCACACUAGCUGCUGCAGGAGGGUUCCUGAACCGGCUGAGCAGGAGGAAAAGAAGGCCUAAGUGACCCAGACACUGACUAAAGCUCGUGAGGAAGAAAGGCAUCACUGCAUGGAACAGUGCAAGUAUCACAUCAAUCACGCACGCACCCUCAAUAGGGAAGAGUAUUUCAGUGUCUAGCUGAUAGAUAAGCCUUAGGGUUUCGAGUUUCCUCCAAGUCCCGGUGAGGUGGGAUGAGGGCUGAUGGGGCGUGCCCGCCCUCUGAGCACCAAUACACGUCAAGAAGGGCAAGGGUUAACUCGGUAACAUCAUUGAGGCACUGAACAAGAUGCGCAAGGUUGCUGAACAAUUACAAGCAGAUGAACAUGGAGGAGUUGAAGACAGCUGAUCGUGUUAGUUCAGUGGAUGGAAGACUCUGAUUCUAUCCACCAUACCGGUCCUGGGCUUAGUGAUUGUGAUGCCAUGUUUGCUGCCUGUUUUCUGUCAAUGUUGUAUGUCUGUGUUUCAGAGGCAGCUGACAAAUAUCGGUUACCAGAUGGUGAAAAUAGACUCUGAUGACGUGCCUGACUGGCCUCCAAACUCACAUGAAGACUAUAACCCACCGUUCGAUGACAUCAGCACAGUUGACAUGAAACUAGUCCUGACUUAAAACAUUUUCAUUAUGAUUGUUUCCUGUUCUAUUGUUUCCUGAUCUAUGUAUGUAGCUUGCUAGCGUUAACUUAAGAUGUCUAUGUCUUAUAAAAAACAGCCUUAGCAUUAUCCCUGUACACUCAAUGACAUGUUAAGUUGAAUCUCUCUGGGAACUCUUACCACUGAAAUUGUGUACAUUUUUUUUCUUUUAGCAAUUAUUAUCCUAUAGGAUAAAAAGGGGGGAGAAUGUGAGGGAAUUUUAAUGGAUGAACAUUAUUAUUCUCUGUGUUUCUGUAUGUUGAGCUCAAGUGACUUGGAUGAACAUUAUUAUUCUGUGUUUCUGUAUGUUGAACUAAAGUGGCUUAGUUACUGAGAAGAGAUGUUUUUCCACAUGCUGUAAUCGCUUUUCUGUGGCCUUGGUGGUAAUGAGCAGGGUGCUUGAGUUCAUCCUAACUACGCAUCUUCUCAUGAUGUAAUCACCUUUCCUGACCUCGGUGGUGAUAAGCAGGGAGCUUGAGCUCUCCCUAACUCGCAUCUGCCUGCACGUACCAGAGCACGCCAGGUGCACUCAUUAGUAAAACUUCAUAGAAAAUCUUGAGCCAAUCACGUGACGACACAAGCAGUGAGCGAAUGCUUUCAGAGUAUAAUAGAUAACAUUCCUAAAACAUAACUCAGAGUGCGCGCACUCUCAGCAUCAUCAGAAGUGGUGUCUUCUUCUAUUCUUCUCUUUCCUUUCCUAUUUUAUAUAUCUUUUAUAUGAUCUACUGUAAUAAAUAACUGAA